rnacentral:rRNA from 1 species
GACGUAGGGCGCGAGCGUUGUCCGGAAUUAUUGGGCGUAAAGAGCUCGUAGGCGGCUUGUUGCGUCGGCUGUGAAAACCCGCGGCUCAACCGUGGGCUUGCAGCCGAUACGGGCAGGCUAGAGUUCGGUAGGGGAGACUGGAAUUCCUGGUGUAGCGGUGAAAUGCGCAGAUAUCAGGAGGAACACCAAUUGCGAAGGCAGCUCGCUGGGACGUUACUGACGCUGAGACGCGAAAAGCGUGGGGGAGCAAACAGG